UACGUAGGGUGCAAGCGUUAAUCGGAAUUACUGGGCGUAAAGCGUGCGUAGGCGGUUAUGUAAGACAGGUGUGAAAUCCCCGGGCUUAACCUGGGAACUGCAUUUGUGACUGCAUAGCUAGAGUACGGUAGAGGGGGAUGGAAUUCCGCGUGUAGCAGUGAAAUGCGUAGAUAUGCGGAGGAACACCGAUGGGCGAAGGCGGCGUUCUGGACUGCAACUAGACUACU
rnacentral:rRNA from 1 species